GUGCACUGUUGAGGUCUUGAAUUCCAUCUUGUGUGACUGCAGCACAAAAUGCCUCACUUCCAUGGGCUUUCUUUUCCUUAUUUGUCUAAUUAAGACAUUGGAUUAGAGCAUCUCUAAGGUCCCUCCCUGUUCAGUGAGUCUAUUAAGGCUAGAUGUCAGUGUUUCUAGAUUCUCCGUGGCUUCUGAAGGAAUAAAUUUUCUUCACAUUGCUUGACACUCUAUAAAGGUUUAUUGAACGGAGACAGUGAAUGGAUGAAUAGUUAAAUAAAUAGCCAAUCUUUAAUUCAUUAAUUAAUCAAACACUUAUGAUAAGUUACCAGUGCCAGGUCAUUUGCUAGAGACAAAAACAUGAAAAUACAGGGUCUAUGCCUUCCAGGGCCUCUUAGUCUGAAAUCAUACCUUAAUUUUUCUUUUCUCACAUUUCUGAACACAGAAUACACAGAACACAGAGCACAGAAUAUUUGAGAAAGAGACCUGAACUGGGGAGUAAGGAGACCUGUAUCAUCAUCACUGGUGUAUCAUAUCUUGCUUCAUGGAUCAUCAUUUGAUCUUCUCUCUUCUCAUUUCUCUCCUCUGUCUUCCUUUUACUUAACAAUCUACACAGAUAUUAUCAUUGCUUGUUCUACUCCCCUUGUUUUUCUCCUCUUUCUCUUAUCUAUCUAAAUAUGCAUUCUGGUUUUUAUCUUAAACACAGAAUGAUAUGAGUUAAUCAAUAAUUCAGUCAUAGAAAUGCCUAAAAAUGCCAGCUCAUGUCUCCUCAGGAGCCAUAAAAGUAAUAAAGUAAAUUGAAUCAGUACGCUUUACUACUUGUCCAGCAAAAGUCAUUCUUCUGGAAAAGUGAAAACUGAUUAAUUGCUUGAUGCAAGAUUCCAAAAAAUUCACUUUCUAUUAUAUCCCACUGUGUAAAGAGAGAAUAGAGAGGAAUCAGGCAAAAUCUCCUAGCUUGGGUGAGUUUAAGAAGUUCUAGACUGAAAUGAUAGCAGUUUAAGUAAUCCAAGGACAAUAAAGUACUGAGCUCAAGUAAGCACUUAAUUCAAAAUUUUUAAAUCAAAUCCCAGUGUGGAAUUUAAGAAAUAGGUUAAAAAGCUUCCUAUGAAAAAGUUCUCAACACAGCCUCAUCAGUCUUUGCAGAAUAAAGACAAAAGAUAUCUGUUACUUAUUGCAAUAUAGAUACCCUCAACACAGCCAGUCACCAAAUCUUGGCAUUCUUACUCCAUGGCAUCUCUUGUAUCUUUCCUUUUUAAAUCUGUCUCUCUUCUACCAGCACAUGAGAAGCAGCAAACUGAAAUAAUUAGGAAUAUAAGCUCUGGAACCCUACUGCAAGGUUCAAGUCCUGGCUGUACUACUGAAGAAUAGUGUGACAUUGUGCACCUUACUUGACCUCUCCAUGCCUCAGUUUUCCUACAUAUAAAAUGGUGAUAAUGGCAACAUCCAUCUCACAGAGUUGUUAUGAACACUAGGUAAGUUCAUAUCUAUAAGUGUUUAGAACUCUGCCUAGGUCACAUCAAGAAGUAAUGCUGUAAUCAGCACCACAAUCAUCAUCACCAUCCCCACUACCGUCAUUAUUAUCACAAUCAUUGCAUCACUUCUACUGCCCACCUCCUUGACCAAGGACACUCAAUUUGUCCUAUACUAUGUUAUCCUUUGUCCUUUUAUGUGUAAUUGUCUUCAUAAUGAACUCUUGUAUUAACUUUUCUAACGUCUAUAAUUACACACAGAACUCACAGGACAGGAACUGAGCUCUACAUCUUUAUGUCAACCCAAAUAUGCAGCCUAGUGUGGCAAUAUUGUAUUAUACCUUCUACCCUGCCACCAUACUGAACUUGUUCCUUGAGCAUAUGAGAUCCUUUCAUGAUGCCAUGGCUUUAUACAUAUAUGCCCUUUCCUCUGCCUGAAAUGCUUUUUCUACUCAUUGUCCUAUUUUCAUUGUUGGGAAAAUAAUUAUUAAUACUUUUCCUUCAAGAUGCAGUACAGGGCUAGGUGCAGUGGCUCACAACUGUAAUCCCAGCACUUUGGGAGGCCAAGGUGGGAUCACUUGAGUCUAGGAGUUCAAGACCAGCCUAGGGAACAUAGUGAUGCCCUGCCUCUACUCAAAAUAGAAAAAAAUUAGCUAGGCAGGUGGUACACACCUGUAGUCCCAGCUCAUCAGGAGGCUGAGGCAGGAGGAUAGCUUGAGCCCAUGGAGGCUGAGGCUGCAGUGAGCUGUGAUCACGCCACUGCACUACAGCCUGGGCAACGGAGUGAGAUCCUCUCAAAAACAAAAGCAAAAAACAAGAUGCAGUCUGGAAAGUAAACUUCUUAGGUCAGUAUCUCCUAAACAGUGGCUAUGGACAGAUACUGAUCCAGGAAGUCAUUUUCACUAGUCUAUGGUGAAAAUGUCAGCCUCCAUUCCUAAAUUAAGACCUUCCUACUUUGUGCCUCGUGUGUGUGUGUGUGUGUGUGUAUGUAUGUGUGUGUGUCUGUGUAAAUGUCCUUUCAUUUAAUGAAACAAUCAGAAUAACUGAAGUUUUUCUUGUUUGUGUGUUUUAAUCUUCUGAUUUGACAAAUUUAUAUGUCGGCAACCUAUGGUAGUCAAAUUUUUCUUAACCUGACAGGUCUGUGAAAUCCAAGAACCUCACCAAAUGGCUCUCUCAAGUAAGGGGCAAGUGCUCCAGACUCUCCUCUUACUGCUAAGUAAGCUCAUUAGUGAAGUUACCAUUGGGAUUUAAUACACUAUUACAUGUAAGGUUUCUUGCCAGACCCUGAGCAGGGAAGCAGGGGCUGCAUCAUCCCGGGGUCUGGUGAACAGAAGACAGAUAAAUGUUUAACAUCUGCACACUGCAUUAUCAUUUAUGCACAUCUAUUUUUGUAUUUGAUUGGAUCUCUACAAUAACCUUAUAGCAAUCAAUGAGAAAGCAAAGCUCAGAGAUGUUCAGAACUCAUACAAACCCACAAAGUUGGUGCAGGAUCACAGCAAUGUACUGUGUGGGAACAUUACUCCAUGUCUUAGGCGCUACAAUACCAACUUAACUUUUCUAAGAUGUACUUGGUUUACACACUUUGUGUUUGCACUGGAAAUAUGAUAAUAGCAUUUUACCUAAUCAAGGCAUAAGUAUUAUCCUCAUUUUACUGAUAAGGAAGCUGAAGCAUAAAGAUAGGGUGCGUACAAGGCGAAGUACUGGCAGCUAAGAUGAAAGGAAUACGGGGUUAUACACCACAGCACCUUGAACCAUAGUGUGCUUCCCCGUGUCUAUUCAGAACAUUUCAGGCCAUCUGAGAGGCUACAUUCAUAAGGUUUCUUUUCAGGCCUUCCAAAUACCAUCCUUAUCAGCAGUGUCUUGUGGCUUUGAUUUUAAGGUGAAG
rnacentral:lncRNA from 1 species